UCCUGCCGGAGGCCACUGCUAUGGGGGUCCGACUAAGCCAUGCGAGUCAAGGGGGCGUCCCUUCUGGGACGCCACCGGCGGACGGCUCAGUAACACGUCGGUAACCUACCCUCGGGAGGGGGAUAACCCCGGGAAACUGGGGCUAAUCCCCCAUAGGCCUGGGGUACUGGAAGGUCCCCAGGCCGAAAGGGAGCCGUAAGGCUCCGCCCGAGGAUGGGCCGGCGGCCGAUUAGGUAGUUGGUGGGGUAACGGCCCACCAAGCCGAAGAUCGGUACGGGCCGUGAGAGCGGGAGCCCGGAGAUGGACACUGAGACACGGGUCCAGGCCCUACGGGGCGCAGCAGGCGCGAAACCUCCGCAAUGCGGGAAACCGCGACGGGGGGACCCCCAGUGCCGUGCCUCUGGCACGGCUUUUCCGGAGUGUAAAAAGCUCCGGGAAUAAGGGCUGGGCAAGGCCGGUGGCAGCCGCCGCGGUAAUACCGGCGGCCCGAGUGGUGGCCACUAUUAUUGGGCCUAAAGCGGCCGUAGCCGGGCCCGUAAGUCCCUGGCGAAAUCCCACGGCUCAACCGUGGGGCUCGCUGGGGAUACUGCGGGCCUUGGGACCGGGAGAGGCCGGGGGUACCCCCGGGGUAGGGGUGAAAUCCUAUAAUCCCGGGGGGACCGCCAGUGGCGAAGGCGCCCGGCUGGAACGGGUCCGACGGUGAGGGCCGAAGGCCAGGGGAGCGAACCGGAUUAGAUACCCGGGUAGUCCUGGCUGUAAAGGAUGCGGGCUAGGUGUCGGGCGAGCUUCGAGCUCGCCCGGUGCCGUAGGGAAGCCGUUAAGCCCGCCGCCUGGGGAGUACGGCCGCAAGGCUGAAACUUAAAGGAAUUGGCGGGGGAGCACUACAAGGGGUGGAGCGUGCGGUUUAAUUGGAUUCAACGCCGGGAACCUCACCGGGGGCGACGGCAGGAUGAAGGCCAGGCUGAAGGUCUUGCCGGACGCGCCGAGAGGAGGUGCAUGGCCGCCGUCAGCUCGUACCGUGAGGCGUCCACUUAAGUGUGGUAACGAGCGAGACCCGCGCCCCCAGUUGCCAGUCCCUCCCGCUCGGGAGGGAGGCACUCUGGGGGGACUGCCGGCGAUAAGCCGGAGGAAGGGGCGGGCGACGGUAGGUCAGUAUGCCCCGAAACCCCCGGGCUACACGCGCGCUACAAUGGGCGGGACAAUGGGACCCGACCCCGAAAGGGGAAGGGAAUCCCCUAAACCCGCCCUCAGUUCGGAUCGCGGGCUGCAACUCGCCCGCGUGAAGCUGGAAUCCCUAGUACCCGCGCGUCAUCAUCGCGCGGCGAAUACGUCCCUGCUCCUUGCACACACCGCCCGUCACUCCACCCGAGCGGGGUCCGGGUGAGGCCCAGUCUCCUUCGGGAGGCUGGGUCGAG
rnacentral:rRNA from 1 species